ACGGAGGGGGCAAGCGUUACUCGGAAUUAUUGGGCGUAAAGGGCGCGUAGGCGGUCUCGUGCGUCGAGGGUGAAAUCCCCGGGCUUAACCCGGGAACUGCCUUCGAUACGGCGAGACUUGAGUCCGGGAGAGGGGAGCAGAAUUCCCAGUGUAGCGGUGAAAUGCGUAGAUAUUGGGAGGAAUACCAGUGGCGAAGGCGGCUCCCUGGACCGGUACUGACGCUGAGGCGCGAAAGCGUGGGUAGCAAACAGGAUUAGAUACCCUGGUAGUCCACGCCGUAAACGAUGGGUGCUUGGUGUCGGGGGUAUCGACCCCUCCGGUGCCGAAGCUAACGCAUUAAGCACCCCGCCUGGGGAGUACGGUCGCAAGGCUG
rnacentral:rRNA from 1 species